AGUGAAUCCUCUUAACUCUGGAAAAUAUAGAGAACAAGCAGCUUAACUCUUAGAAAUAAGUCUCAUCCCUAGAUUUAAAAAUGCUGCAUGAAAUACGGCUGCAUACAGGAAAACUCAGGUCUCUGGGCUUUGAACCUGCUGCUCAGCUGCAGACUUGCGAGGUGCCUCUGAGGGAGCGUAAGGACUGAAGGACCUGGGGAUUGCACAAGAGAAGCCACUUCAGAUUACUGCACACUUUAAACUGGCCUCAAAGAGGCUGGGCUGGCUGGUGUUGAAGAAUUGGAUUCAAAGCAUCUAGAGCAGGAAAUGCCUUUUGAGGUCAUGUGGCCUAUCUGCUAGACACGGAAUUGCACACGCUGUCAGAGUUUCACACCCUCUCUGGGAGGAUUACAUCAGAGCAGGAAGCCGUGUGUGAGCCCCCCUGUCAGCGUUUCCAGCUUCCACAGCAGAAGUAAAUGGAACAACAAAAGGGGUUUUGGCUCCCAAGGGCCAAGUCUGCACUGCGGAAGCCAAACGGCACCAGGAGAGGGUUCUCAGGAUCCUGCUGCUCCAGCUCUGGUGAAACCCAGGCCAAAUAAUUGUUCCAGAAAAGCUAGAGGAAGAUGUUGCCACAUAAUAAAUCAGAUCUUCUCCUGGGGUAACUAGUAAAGCUGCAUUUGUUAACUUCACAUGUCCAAAAUAAUUCAGAAGUACAAGUACAGAGUCUGGAAUAGGGGUCAGUUUUACCUGAGAUGGUUGAAAAG
rnacentral:lncRNA from 1 species